UACGUAGGGGGCUAGCGUUGUCCGGAAUCAUUGGGCGUAAAGAGCGUGUAGGCGGCCCGGUAAGUCCGCUGUAAAAGUCAAAGGCUCAACCUUUGAAUGUCAGUGGAUACUGCCGGGCUAGAGUCCGGAAGAGGCGAGUGGAACUCCUGGUGUAGCGGUGAAAUGCGCAGAUAUCAGGAGGAACACCAGCGGCGAAGGCGGCGCUCUGGGCCGGAACUGACGCUGAGGAGCGAAAGCGUGGGGAGCGAACAGG
rnacentral:rRNA from 1 species